UUUCUCCAUCUAUUUGUGUCACCUUUGAUUUCUUUCAUCAGUGUUUUAUAGUUUUCUAUAUAUAGGUCUUUUGUGGCUUGUGGGAUCUUAGUUCCCCAACCACAGACUGAACCUGCACCUUUGGCAGUGACAGCACAGAGUCCAAACCACUGGACCGCCAGGGAAAUCCUCCAGAUAGACCCAUUCUUAAGUGUCCAUCCCAAGUACACUUCUAGUGUAGAGGCCUUCUCACUACCUGAUAGUACUCUAUCAAGUAGUUUCCAUAACAUAGUUAUCUUUGUCACUGUACUUUUCUCAUUCUGCUUGUUUAUAAGUGUGCUAGACUCUUGAAGGCAGACAAACAGCCUUCUUAAAUUCUCUGUGAAAGAAGAUGGGUAAUAAGUAAUUGUUCAUCUCUGUAUCUCACUCUUAUAUGCCUAGCACAGUGAGGGGCGUCCAUAACUGAUGUAAAUAAUUUAAGUUUAGAUAUUUUAAAUAAAAGUCCAAUGCUCUUAGCAACAGAGUAUGUAUAGUCCUGAGUUACAAAUGAUAACCAAGUGUCUGGAGCUUUUCAGAGUAAAUUACCCAUCUAUCUCUACUAUUUCUGUUGGGCAUUAUUUCAUUUACAUUUUCUCUUUUCUUCUUUUCCUGGUAUCUUAUAAGUGAAUUUAUACAACAGAAAGGGAUUAUUUUUCCUCAUUUUACAAAACACAUUGAUGUAUAACUCUGUAAGUAAGUAGCUUAACUAUCCUGCCUUGGGAAGCACGUGACCUUGAUUAUACUGUAUGAUAAAUCAAUUGCAAUGCCUGUUCUAACAUCCAUAUCUUUUGAUUCUAAUUUCAGGGAUCUUGCUAUAUCACAGUGCUUUCCUUUCACAUUUCAUGACGUGCUAAUUCAAAUAAAUUGCCUAAUUAUGGGACAAUUUAUUUUAUAAACCUAUUCUUCUAAAGAACUCUCCCCCAGGUUGAAAACCACCACCUGCCCUGUAUCUCCAGCACCCUUUCCCUCUUCCCUGCGUAAACCAAAUCUGUGCCAUCUUUAACGCCAGAGGAAACGCCAUCUCCUUCAUGCAGACCUCCUGGAAUUCCUCAAACCAGUACCCAGAAUUCUUCUUGAACUUGUGUCCAGACUAUUGAUUUAUAAGUGCUGCCUCCUCAAAUGAGAUCAAACAUUCCUCAAGGGCAGGAGCAACUUCUCCUUUUGUUAUUUGGCAGAGAACAGUUCUCUACCUAGAGGCACUUAAUGAAUGCUAAUUAAAGUUUGGCUAUUUAUCAAAUA